rnacentral:rRNA from 1 species
CACGUAGGGUGCGAGCGUUGUCCGGAAUUAUUGGGCGUAAAGAGCUCGUAGGCGGCUCGGUAAGUCAGGUGUGAAAACUCUAGGCUCAACCUAGAGACGCCACCUGAUACUGCUGUGGCUAGAGUCCGGUAGGGGAGCAUGGAAUUCCUGGUGUAGCGGUGAAAUGACGCAGAUAUCAGGAGGAACACCAGUGGCGAAGGCGGUGCUCUGGGCCGGAACUGACGCUGAGACGCGAAGCGUGGGAGCGAACAGG